rnacentral:rRNA from 1 species
CAAUAGCGUAUAUUAAAGUUGUUGCAGUUAAAAAGCUCGUAGUUGGAUUUCUGGUGGGAGCGAUCGGUCUGGCGCUUAGCGCGAGUACUUGCAUCGUCUCCGGCCAUCCUUGGGGAGAGUCUGUCUGGCAUUAGGUUGUCGGGCAGAGGAUCCUCAUCGUUUACUGUGAAAAAAUUAGAGUGUUCAAAGCAGGCUUAUGCCGUUGAAUAUAUUAGCAUGGAAUAAUAAGAUAGGACUUUGGUACUAUUUUGUUGGUUUGCGCACCAAAGUAAUGAUUAAUAGGGACAGUUGGGGGUAUUCGUAUUCCGUUGUCAGAGGUGAAAUUCUUGGAUGUACGGAAGACGAACUACUGCGAAAGCAUUUACCAAGGAUGUUUUCAUUAAG